ensembl:snRNA U6 U6 spliceosomal RNA
GUGCCCUCUUUGGCAGCACAUAUGCCAAAAUAGGAAGGAUACAUAAAAGAUUAGCACAGCCCCUGUGCCAGGAAGACAUGCAAAUCUGUGAAGUGUCUCAUGUUAAA